rnacentral:rRNA from 1 species
AUUGAACGCUGGCGGCAGGCCUAACACAUGCAAGUCGCACGAGUGGCGGACGGGUGAUUAAUGUCUGGGAAACUGCCUGAUGGAGGGGGCUAACUACUGGAAACGGUAGCUAAUACCGCAUACCAUCGGAUGUGCCCAGAUGGGAUUAGCUAGUAGGUGGGGGAAAGGCUCACCUAGGCGACGAUCCCUAGCUGGUCUGAGAGGAUGACCAGCCACCCGGGAACUGAGACACGGUCCAGACUCCUACGGGAGGCAGCAGUGGGGAAGAUUGCGCAAUGGGCGCAAGCCUGAUGCAGCUAUGCCGCGUGUAUGAAGAGGGCCUUCGGGUUGUAAAGUACUUUCAGCGGGCAGGCGUUACUCGCAGAAGAAGCACCGGCUAACUCCGUGCCAGCAGUCGCGGUAAUAC